UGGGAGACCUUUUCAAAAACAGGGUCCCCAGCUUGCAAGCUCUUCGCUAACAUCCUAGCCAUGACAAGCUUCCUUGAUUGAAGUUUCUCAGGGUCUGCUGCCGUGUCACCUUGUGAGAACCCACUUAUUAUCUCUACAAUCUGCUCAAUACCUACAUCGUCAACAUUAUCUAAGAGCUCCAGCAAUUGCUUGGUGCACGUCAAUAAUAUGCCUUCCACGUCUGCACCACUGGCUACUACUUGCUCCAUCAUGAGUGUUUGCCGGCAGACAAGAAGGCUAGUUGAUAUUACUAUGAUCUGCUGGAUUUGAGCCUGGGCAGCUCUUAAACGAGGCAGGUUAAGCAUGAAGGUUUCAGGCAGAACUUCUUGUGUUAGGCCAGAAACCCCACUUGCUAACUUCAACAAUCCAAGCCUCACCAACAAAUCAAUUCUUUCACCAUUGCAUUCCGGUUCUGGCUUCUGACCACCUGUGGUAUUUGAGGCAGAUGAAGUAGCAGCAGUUCCACUUCCUUUUGUUUUGAGCAUAAAGCUUGCACCAGUUCUAAGCGUAGUGGAAGGAAGAAACUCCUGAGAUGAACUUCCAUGGUUUAUCAAAGCAGAGAGGAAGUUGGUAUGCUCUUCCCACUCCUGGUCUUUGCAAUUCCUCACAGAUAAAAGCCACCGCAUGGUCAAAGGUAGAGACAUACAGGCAUCAGAAUAAGAUCCAUAAUGGUUGGCAAAAGCUUUUCUAAGGUAAUCCAAACCAGCAGGUCCCUUCAACAAAGGCUCCAUCAAUUUUAUACGUGCUUUACUUAUCUCUUGCUUAAGAGCCUGAAUCUGCUCUAAUACAAACCGCAGACCCUUGAUCAUUGCAAUGGCAUGGGAAUACAUUGACUCAUCUCGAGUUUCACAUGUCUCAGCCAAUUCUUUCAAUAAUUUCUGGUGUGUGACUUUCAUUUCCUCUUCAUGUGCUGGAGAGGACAGCUUUUGCAGAGUACCUAAUGCAAACUCUAGAAUCUUUCCGAGAUAAUCAAUGUCAAGUGUAUCUGACUUUAACACCUGAGAGAGAAUAUCCAGAUCAAUAGCUUCAGCAAUCUGCAGUUUCCAGCUUUCUGGUGCCAUCUCACUAAUUCCAUCCCUCACCUCCUUCACAAGUUCAACAACUCGAUCGUAUCUGGGCUUGUCCUGUUUGAUGGAAUCCAUGAUACCAUCCCAAAAGGCUGCCUCCAUUGUCUCUCUUAUCUUUCCCUUGAUAUUGUUUUCUUUGUCCGUACUGAAUCCAUCAACAAAGCUAUGAUGUCGCUCAUGGAGAAAUUCAU
rnacentral:misc_RNA from 1 species